rnacentral:lncRNA from 1 species
AUUUUUUUUUUUAAACCCUAACUUGAAGCUGGGUAUGGUAUCAAACAUCCCUAACCCCAUGACUCUGGAUGCUAAGGCAAGAAGAUACAAGAGUUCCCAGUUAGCCUUGCUGUACAUACAAGGAGUGCAGGCAACACUUGGGAAAUGAAGCAAGAAAAUCAAGAAUUGAGAGGUUAAGGUCAUCCUUGGCUAUGUUCCAAGCCAAUCUGGAUUGCAUGAGACCCUUUCUCCAAAAAAAAAAAAAAAAAAAAAAAAGGGUCCCCAGCACCACAUACACUGGGUCGUUAUGGUGGCAGAAGCCUGUAAUCCCAGCCCUUGCAAAGUACAAGGGGAAGAAUUAGAAAUUCAAGGGUAUCCUUGGUUACAUAUCCAGUUGAAGACCUGGUUUCAUUUUGUUUUCUUUUGUUGAGCUUAAAAGUCUGUUGUAUCCAGACUGGUUUUGAAGUCAUUAUGUAACCAAGGAUAACUUUGAACUUGUAAUGCUCUUGCCUCCAUCUCCUAAAUGAUGGCAUUACAGAUGUGGAUCUAUCCUGAUGUGCCAGGUUGAAGUUUUUGCUGGGGAUUGAAUGCAAAGAUUGAAUAUGCUGGACAAGCACCCUAUUGAAUGAGUUGUGUCUCUAGCCCCAACUUUUAUUUAUUUAUUCCUUUGUUUAUUUCCCAGUCUGUCAUUUUUUAAUAACUUGUCUCAUUUUUAAUUAUAUGUAUGAGUCUGUGUAUGCAUACAUACACAUGAGUGCAGGUGCCUGUGGAAACCAAAAGGCAUUGAAUUCCCCCUGGAGCUAGAGUUCGAGGCAGUUAUGAGCCACCUGAUGUGGGAACUGAAUUCCUGUUCUCUCCCAGAGCGUGCUGUGCUUGCUCUUAAUCUGAGCAAUCUCUCCAGCCCCGUGACUUUCAUUUUUUUGUUUUUUUGUUUUUUCAAGACAGGGUUUUUCUGUGUAGCCCUGGCUGUCCUGAACUCACUCUGUAGACCAGGCUGGCCUCGAACUCAGAAAUCCGCUUGCCUCUGCUUCCCAAGUGCUGGGAUUAAAGGCAUGUGCCACCACGCCUGGCUAACUUUCAUUUUUUUAAAAGAAGGAAAAAUAAUUUUAAACAAGAAAACUCCCCUAGGACAGUCAUGGCCAACUUAAUUCAAUGCUGACAGUGAUCAGACCAGAGAGCCUCUAAGUAUUAAAACAGAACUCGGAAACACAAUAAAUACAUAAGGAAGAGAGAUAAUACAAGUUCUAAACAUUGGCAGCUGACUGAAGAGGAGCAACAGGCAAGUUACAGGGAAAAAAGCUACUUAUUUGGUUUUUCGAGACAGGGUUUUUCUGUGUAGCCCUGGCUGUCCUGGCACUCACUCUGUAGACCAGGCUGGCCUCGAACUCAGAGAUCCGCCUGCCUCUCCCUAGUGCUGGGAUUAAAGGUAUGGGCCUCCACCACCCAGCUAGAAAGCUACUAAAUUGAUGAGGGAAAUUUUGAAUUUUUAGAUUUAAAGUACUCAUGAAGAACUAAGUAAAACAAUGAAAAAGACUUCAGCUUGGUGGUAAAUGACUGUAAUCCCAGCAACCCAGGAUAUUACGUAAGAGAACUCCAGCCUCAAAGCUAACAACUUAGGAAGAUUAGGAAGACCAUGGCUCAAAAUGCAAUUUAAAAAAAAAAGGAGGAGGAGGAAGACGAGGAGGAGGCUAGCCAGGUGUAUACAUGGCUUUAGUCCCAGCACUAGUGAGGCAGGCAGAUCUUUGUGAGCUUGAAGCCAGCCACCCUAACCUACAGUGGCAAAAUUUUUAUGGAAAUUUCUAUAUGAAUUCAUCAAAAAAAAAAAGGUGGAAUUUACACCAAAUGUUCAAAAGUAGAAAACAGUUGGUCUGUUUCCAAGUACUGCCUGAAAAGCAUAGCAAGAGCUCAUCUCAAAAAGAAGUUAGAGGCUAAAUAGAAGAUUCGGCAGAUAAGAGCACUAAGUGCUUUUCUAGAAGACCUGGGUUCAAUUCCCAGCACCUACAUUUAUGAUUAUAACUGUCCAGAACUCUGGUUCCAGGGCACCAGGCAAACACAUGGUACACAAACACUCCAUUUAUACAGGCAAAAUAUUUAUACACAUAAAAUAAAAAUGAAUG